AGGGGAAGGAAGAUUUUUUUAUUUUUUUUAUUUUUUUUCAACUUUAAUUUUUUCUGACGCGCCAGUUUUUUAUUUUUUUGCCACGUCAGUUUUAGGGAGUAAAUAAAUUCACUUUUAAGUAAUAAAGGUGUGUAGUAGAUCGUCAAAAUAGUUUAAGAGUGUAACUGACUUUUGGGGAGAAGUUUAAGAGGGAAUCUAUG
rnacentral:lncRNA from 1 species